UCAUCUUCAUCUGGACUCUCACAGCGUUUGCUCAAGAGUGUAGAGGACAGAUCACCGUCACUCAGAGUCCCUCAAUGACAGCAGCUCAACCAGGACAAACUGUGAACAUCAACUGUAAAACCAGCAGUAGAGUGUAUGUUGGUGAUCGUUUAGCCUGGUACUUACAGAAACCUGGAGAAGCUCCUAAACUCCUGAUUUAUUAUGCAAGCACCCUCCAGUCAGGAACUCCAUCUAGAUUCAGUGGCAGUGGAUCUAACAGUGAUUUCACUCUGACCAUCAGUGGAGUCCAGACUGAAGAUGCUGGACAUUAUUACUGUCAGAGUUACCAUGAAAUCAACAGUAAUGAUGUGUUCACACAGUGAUAAAGAGUCGUACAAAAACCUCCGUCAGUCAGAGUCACAGUGACUGAACUGAUACUGCAGCUGCUCAAAGGAGGAUCUGAAACAACAUCGUCACACAAAC